AUGCAUGGAUGUAGGGCUACCAAGUUUGUUCAAAUGGAUGACCUUGACCUUCAUUCAAGGUCACAGGGGUCAAAUAUGCUAAGAUCUUUAAAUAACUUCUUUUUGAUAAUCAAAAGGCCGAGACUCAAUAUUAGGUCUGUAGCAUGCUGGGAUAAAGGGCUACUACGUUUGUUCAAAUGGAUGACCUUGACCUUCAUUAAAGGUCACAGGGGCCAAAUAUGCUAAAAUAUAUCAUAACUCAGGUGAACGUUAAGGCCCAUGGGCCUCUUGUUUAAAUUGCUUUUUUAUUUUUUAUAUGCUAUUGUUAUAUCUAUUGCUAGUGUGUUAGAUAUGGCCUUCAUUUAGUGUUUUUUGGAAAGAUCUUCCCACUACAUGAGUUCGAUAUGUAGGAGUGAAGUAAUUAGGGUCUAAUGUUGAUCCUAGUAGCACUUAGAUUAACAAACUUACAGAGAUUGGAUUGUUGUAACAUAAUUUCUUGAAAGAGGAAUCUCAUCAGUUGCAUAUAUAAUUGGAUACACUUUCAGUUUCUGAUGAUGUUAGCCAAUUAUAUAGCCAUUGAUAUUGAUAAAUGCUGUUAAAAACUUGAAUGUGAAGAUGUGUGGAGAUUGAAAGCCUGCAUGCUAUUAGGAUAUUUUUUACUGUUUGGUGAUUGAACGUCUGCCUCCCAGUCCUGGCUAUCCUAUCUUACAUAAGUAUACAUAUCAUAUUUAUCCUCAAAUAAGCCCCUUACCCGAGUGUUAAAGUCCAGUACAUCUGUAUUGGUAUGGAAAUUUGGGAAGGGCUUUCUUUGUGAAACACUUUUCUUUACCUUUUAAAAAAGUGAUGAUUCUUCAAAAAUGGAAAAUGCCUCGGGGCAUAUUUCCGAACAAGAGUCUUAUUUACAGACAAAUAUGGUAAAUGUACAUUCAGUGCAGGAAUGAAUAUCAAAUAUGUGAAUUACUUAAGAGUACCCGCUAUUGGAGUCUUAUUUGAAUUUUUGUAUGCUUAAUCCCAAAAUGGCAUCACUUACCUAGACUCAACAUACGGUAUGAAUGAAACAUAUCACAGAUUGAUAGCUUUAUCAAGCAUACUAAACAGGCUAUAAAACUUGUUUUAUUCUAAUACUCCUGGAAAAACUGUAGUUAAGAUGUAAAACCAUCAGUCAAUCUACAAUAAUAUCUGUUGUGGUGUGAAUAAUUAUCCUAGUACUACAUAUGGUCUGUGAUUAAAACCUCCGUAAAUGUAUUUCUUUCUUUUUUAUCUGGAGUAAAUGAUUGUCCCAGUACUAUGGUCUGCGAGUAUAACUUCUGUAAACAUACUUCUUUCUUUAACUUAAGCAACUCUUAUUAUACUUAUUAAAAAAUAUCCAUCGAAUUCAGGUUGAUACGAAGCACUGGGUCACUCUUCUUUUAACAUUUAAUGUAAAUGAAACUUAGAUAUCAACAUGGAAUGAACAGUUGUUGACAUUUUUAGCCCACCAUCAUCAGAAUUUAUUUUGAGAAUGGUUGGCGUUUAAGAUUUGUAUAAUUUUUGUGGGAUUGGUUAUUUGUGAUAAAGGAAUGAACUAACAUAUUAAUAAGGUGUACUUGUGAUGGUGGAGACCUUGGUAUACCAGGUGUAUCAUACAAUUAGGUGUACCUGUGAUGGUAGAGACCUUGGUAUACCAGGUGUAUCAUACAUUUAGGUGUACCUGUGAUGGUGGAGACCUCUGGUAUACCAGGUGUAUCAUACAAUUAGGUGUACCUGUGAUGGUAGGGACCUCGGGUAUACCAGGUGUAUCAUACAAUUAGGUGUACCUGUGAUGGUAGGGACCUCGGGUAUACCAGGUGUACCUGUGAUGGUGAAGACCUCGGGUAUACCAGGUGUAUCAUACAAUUAGGUAUACCUGUGAUGGUAGAGACCUCGGGUAUACCAGGUGUAUCAUACAAUUAGGUGUACCUGUGAUGGUGGAGACCUUGGUAUACCAGGUGUAUCAUACAAUUAGGUGUACCUGUGAUGGUGGAGACCUCGGAUAUACCAGGUGUAUCAUACAAUUAGGUGUACCUGUGAUGGUGGAGACCUUGGUAUACCAGGUGUAUCAUACAAUUAGAUGUACCUGUGAUGGUGGAGACCUCGGGUAUACCAGGUGUACCUGUGAUGGUAGAGACCUUGGUAUACCAGGUGUACCUGUGAUGGUGGAGACCUCGGAUAUACCAGGUGUAUCAUACAAUUAGGUGUACCUGUGAUGGUGGAGAUCUCGGGUAUACCAGGUGUAUCAUACAAUUAGGUGUACCUGUGAUGGUGGAGACCUCGGGUAUACCAGGUGUAUCAUACAAUUAGGUGUACCUGUGAUGGUGGAGACCUUGGUAUACCAGGUGUAUCAUACAAUUAGGUGUACCUGUGACGGUAGAGACCUAGGGUAUACAUGGUGUAUCAUACAAUUAGGUGUACCUGUGAUGGUGGAGACCUCAGGUAUACCAGGUGUAUCAUACAAUUAGGUGUACCUGUGAUGGUAGGGACCUUGGUAUACCAGGUGUAUCAUACAAUUAGGUGUACCUGUGAUGGUGGAGACCUCAGGUAUACCAGAUGUAUCAUACAAUUAGGUGUACCUGUGAUGGUGGAGACCUCGGGUAUACCAGGUGUAUCAUACAAUUAGGUGUACCUGUGAUAGUGGAGACCUCGGGUAUACCAGGUGUAUCAUACAUUUAGGUGUACCUGUGAUGGUAGAGACCUCGGGUAUACCAGGUGUAUCAUACAAUUAGGUGUACCUGUGAUGAUGGAGACCUUGGUAUACCAGGUGUAUCAUACAAUUACGUGUACCUGUGACGGUAGAGACCUCGGGUAUACCAGGUGUAAUAUACAAUUAGGUGUACCUGCGACGGUAGAGACCUCGGGUAUACCAGGUGUAUCAUACAAUUAGGUGUACCUGUGAUGGUAGAGACCUCGGGUAUACCAGGUGUAUCAUACAAUUAGGUGUACCUGUGAUGGUGGAGACCAAGUAUACCAGGUGUAUCAUACAAUUAGGUGUACCUGUGACGGUAGAGACCUCGGGUAUACCAGGUGUAUCAUACAAUUAGGUGUACCUGUGAUGGUGGAGACCUUGGUAUACCAGGUGUAUCAUACAAUUAGGUGUACCUGUGAUGGUGGAGACCUCAGGUAUACCAGGUGUAUCAUACAAUUAGGUGUACCUGUGAUGGUAGAGACCUCGGGUAUACCAGGUGUAUCAUACAUUUAGGUGUACCUGUGAUGGUGGAGACCUCAGGUAUACCAGGUGUAUCAUACAAUUAGGUGUACCUGUGAUGGUGGAGACCUCAGGUACACCAGGUGUAUCAUACAAUUAGGUGUACCUGUGAUGGUUAGGGACCUCGGGUAUACCAGGUGUAUCAUACAAUUAGGUGUACCUGUGAUGGUGGAGACCUCAGGUAUACCAGGUGUAUCAUACAAUUAGGUGUACCUGUGAUGGUGGAGACCUCGGGUAUACCAGGUGUAUCAUACAUUUAGGUGUACCUGUGAUGGUAGAGACCUCGAUUAUACCAGGUGUAUCAUACAAUUAGGUGUACCUGUGAUGGUGGAGACCUUGGUAUACCAGGUGUAUCAUACAAUUAGGUGUACCUGUGAUGGUGGAGACCUCAGGUAUACCAGGUGUAUCAUACAAUUAGGUGUACCUGUGAUGGUAGAGACCUCGGGUAUACCAGGUGUAUCAUACAUUUAGGUGUACCUGUGAUGGUGGAGACCUCAGGUAUACCAGGUGUAUCAUACAAUUAGGUGUACCUGUGAUGGUGGAGACCUCAGGUACACCAGGUGUAUCAUACAAUUAGGUGUACCUGUGAUGGUUAGGGACCUCGGGUAUACCAGGUGUAUCAUACAAUUAGGUGUACCUGUGAUGGUGGAGACCUCAGGUAUACCAGGUGUAUCAUACAAUUAGGUGUACCUGUGAUGGUGGAGACCUCGGGUAUACCAGGUGUAUCAUACAUUUAGGUGUACCUGUGAUGGUAGAGACCUCGGGUAUACCAGGUGUAUCAUACAAUUAGGUGUACCUGUGAUGGUGGAGACCUUGGUAUACCAGGUGUAUCAUACAAUUAGGUGUACCUGUGAUGGUGGAGACCUCAGGUAUACCAGGUGUAUCAUACAAUUAGGUGUACCUGUGAUGGUAGGGACCUCGGAUAUACUAGGUGUAUCAUACAAUUAGAUGUACCUGUGAUGGUGGAGACCUCGGGUAUACCAGGUGUACCUGUGAUGGUAGAGACCUCGGGUAUACCAGGUGUAUCAUACAAUUAGAUGUACCUGUGAUGGUAGAGACCUCAGUAUACCAGGUGUAUCAUACAAUUAGGUGUACCUGUGAUGGUAGAGACCUCGGGUAUACCAGGUGUAUCAUACAAUUAGGUGUACCUGUGAUGGUGGAGACCAAGUAUACCAGGUGUAUCAUACUUAUAUCUACAAAUUUAAAUUUUAGAUUUGUUACUUAUUUAAUUAUUAAAGAAAUAUACUUUGUACAUUUAUUGCGUAUAUAAUGUUAUACAUACCCAUGCUCAUUUUAUAAUAAAAUAUUACUAAUGGUUUUACAAUAAAAUAAAGAAAAAAAUAAUAGAUAAAAAUGUUUUGUUAUUCUUUAUGAUUAAUACCCCAUAUCAGAUAUGUCUAUUGUAAUUAAUGUGUCCGUCUGUAUUUGUGUUCCUUGACAAACACAUGUGUUUCCAGAGAGGAUCUUGAAAUAUAUAAAUAAUCUAACAUUGUUGAAAUUCCAUAAAUGUGGAUACACUAUUGUGAAUGUCUAAUCUAAUGUCAAGGCUGUAUGACUCUUCAGCUUUGGUCUAGAGAAACUCAGUUGAUUAGUUUACACGGCUAGCUCCAGGUACACAUGCUAUUUCUAGCCCUUCAUUAAAAACGACACCAAAGGUGAAAAAAUAGGUUUUAUUUAUAAUAAAAUAUAUGAAUUCAUUAACUCUAUACAGUUAUUUCCUAAAUAGCAUGAAGUUUAUUCCAUCUUUGCUAUAUUAGAAUGUGUCAUAAUAAAUAUAUUUUUAUCAA